rnacentral:lncRNA from 1 species
UUGCUGAAAGACACUGGUUUUUAAUUUGAUAUUGCUGCACUAAUUCAUCAGAAACUUUUAAAGGUUUCUUACAUUGCACCAUUAACCUGCAUAAAAAAAUUAAAAAAAAUUAAUUAUCCACAUAAGCAUUAAAAAUUUCCAAAAUGACGUUAAGUAUCAUAAUGUUUUUAGAAUUACUUAAAGAUUAUCUAACCUACAAUCCCUUAUUUCAGAAAUGAGGAGGCAUGAAAAUAUUAAAUAAUUUAUUGAAGUCUAAAAUUUAGCCAUAGAGAAAUGGGGCCAAAAUCCAAGUUUCCUAACUAUAUGAUCUUUCUACCAAAAUAUGUUGUCUUUAGGUAAUUCACGGUUUAGGUAACUCACGGUUCUCAAGUCCUCAAGCACACUAUUUUGUACAAAUCCAUUCCCUGAAAGGGGCUCUUAAAUCUAAACUGCUCCAGUACAGUGACUCAAAGUGGGAGCUUUAUAAAAGUGAGUAAAAUACUUUUAAACAAUUUAUACAUUUAUACAAGGAAAGUGAUUAUGUAUUUUUUUUUUACUGCCAUGAGUAGAUAUACUUUAAGUUUUAAAUUUUUGAAGGCCUGAUUUGUGUUUCAUGAAAAUAGCAUUAUUACUAUUAAUUCUGGCAAGAUGUUUCACAAUGGAAAGUGAAGUUUCAGUGCAAGUAUCUGAGUUUUCUAAUCACAUUGGCACAUCAAUUUUUAAGUUAUUAGUCUUCUGGUUCAACACAGCAACUAAGAAAUUGUUUCUCUUUAUUCUCCUAAAAUAACCAAUAAAAUGACAGGAGAUGACAGAAUAAAAGAGAAGACAACAAGGAAGUUGGAAAGAUGAGCUAGUGGAAACUGACAGACCACAGAAAGCUGAAAUCUAAGGAUAAAAGAGGGAUGCCACAACAAGAAGCAAGCUGAUCUAUACCAAAGAACCCUGGAAAGCAUCAGGAGUUUUUUCUCUCUGAAGACCCGACUGCUCGGCUGGUUCACCAGUCGUCAGGCAACCUGGAGGUCACCAUACUGAUGCUGAACUUGAUGCAGACACUUAAUCGGCAUAGUGCACAGCAGCCCGGAACUCCUGGGAUCAAGCAAUCCUCCUGACACAACCAGAGCACUCGGCUAGGUAUUUUAACAGAGAAUAAAUCUCUAACAGUAGGAAAAAUGAGAGAGAGGCUAUAAAUGGACCAGAUGUUUCACUAAGUCUCAGGGAAGCUCAAAAUAAGAUAAAAUACAGCAGAAAAAGUUCACAGCCUACAAUAUGCAAAAGAAGGGAUUAUAGCCCAACUACAUAAACAACAGGAGAGUCUAACUGCCUGGAAAAGUGAGAAAAAAUCCGGACAGAAAUGAGAAGAAGGGGUUACUUUGGUCACACUGCCUAUGGGUGUAGCCCUGCUCUGCAAGGAGCAGUAAAAAAAAAAAAAAGGGGGGGGGGAGGGAAAAAGAAAAAGGAGAAGGGGAGACAGGAAGGAGAAGAAAAACAAAAGUGAGAAAAAGAGCUGAAAAUGGGACAACAAGAAAGAUUCCUUUUUAAGGAAAAUGAAUAAACUACCUGUCAAAAUAAGUAUAACAUCCUUUUCAUUCUGGAAUUUUAGGAAUGGUUGCCUUCCCUUCCAAAAAUUCCCCAUCCAGUUAUCAUAAAGCGAAUUAUCUGACACCUAUACACAUUACAUACUAAAGUAUUUAUUGAAUGAGCAAGGACCACCAGUCAACAAGCUCUACCUAUAUACAACAUUUCCAAUCAGUCUAUCUAUUCUCUCACAUUAAAAUACGUCUAGACAGGCCAGGUGUGGUGGCUCAUGCCUGUCUGUAAUCCCAGCACUUUGGGAGGCCGAGGCCAGUGGAUCACUUGAGGUAAGGAGUUCGAGACCAGCCUGACCAACAUGGUGAAACCCCGUCUCUAUUAAAAAUACAAAAAUUAGCCGGGCAUGGUGGCACGCACUUAUAGUCCCAGCUACUUGGGAGGCUGAGGCAGGAGAAACGCUUGAACCCGGGAGGUGGAGGUUGCAGUGAGCUCAGAUCACACCAUUGCACUCCAGCUUAGGAGACAGAAUGAGACUCCAUCUCAAAAAAAUAAAAUUAAAAUAAUAGUAACAAUCAAGUCGGGCGUGGUGGCUCAUGCCUGUAAUCCCAGCACUUUGGGAGGUCAAGGCAGGCAGAUCACGAGGUCAGGAGAUCAAGACCAUCCUGGCUAACAAGGUGAAACCCCGUCUCUGCUAAAAAUACAAAAAAUCAGACAGGCGUGGUGGCACGUGCCUAUAGUCCCAGUUCCUCUGGAGGCUGAGGCAGAAGGGCUGCUUGGACCUGGGAGGCGGAGGUUGCAGUGAGCCGAGAUAGCGCCACUGCACUCCAGCCUGGACAAGAGAGCAAGACUCCAUCUCAAAAACAAAAAAACAAAAAACAACCAGAAAUACGACAAGAAGAAUCCGAGUAAAGAACAAGACCAAAAUAAAGUAAUUCUAGAGAAAAAUAAAAUCACAGAACAUCAAACAACGGAAUGUUAUUUUUAAAAAAAAUCAGUUGAGAAUGUUUUUAAAACAUGAGAAAGAAAAAUUCAGAAUUCAAGAAAGUUGAGAAUCCCCUGAGAAAACAGAGCACCAUCUGAAUCAUGGAAGUUUUAAAAAGAAUUUUUUAGGAGAUGGUAUUACCUAAGAAAUAGAGAAUUUCCAAAUGGCAGAACAAAGGCCUUCAAACUGAGUUAGACCUUGGCCGGGCGUGGUGGUUCACGCCUGUAAUCCCAGCACUUUAGGAGGCCGAGGCGGGCGGAUCACGAGGUCGGGAGAUCCAGACCAUCCUGGCUAACACGGUGAAACCCCGUCUCUACUAAAAAUACAAAAAAUUAGCCGGGCAUGGUGGCAGGCGCCUGUAGCCCCAGCUACUUGGGAGGCUGAGGCAGGAAAAUGGCGUGAACCCGGGAGGCGGAACUUGCAGUGAGCCAAGAUCGCGCCACUUCACUCCAGCCUGGGCGAGAGAACGAGACUACGUCUCAAAAAAUAAAAAACAUAAAAAAUUAGCAGAGUGUGCUGGUGCGCACCUAUAGUCCCAGCUACUCGGGAGGCUGAGACAGGAAAAUGGCCUGAACCCGGAAGGCAGAGCUUCCAGUGAGCCGAGAUCACGCCACUGCACUCCAGCCUGGAGGAAAGAGCGAGACUGUCUCAAAAAAAAAAAAAAAAAAAAGCUGUGCGCAGUGGCUCACGCCUGUAAUCCCAGCACUUUGGGAGGCCGGGGCGGGCGGAUCAUGAGGUCAGGAGAUCGAGACCAUCCUGGCUAACACGGUGAAACCCCCGUCUCUACUAAAAAAUAUAAAAAAUUAGCCAGGAGUGGUGGUGGGCGCCUGUAGUCCCAGCUACUCAGGAGGCUGAGGCAGGAGAAUGGUGUGAACCAGGAGGCGGAGCUUGCAGUGAGCAGGGAUCGCGCAACUGUACUCCAGCCUGGGCCACAGAGCGAGGCUCUGUCUCAAAAAAAAAAAAAAAAAAAAAAAAAAUUGAGUUAGCCUUUCAAGUGCCCAGCACAAGGACUGGAAAAAAGAUCAUUAUACCUGCUACACAGAUUCUUGUGACAUUUCUAAAGCUAAGAGAAGACCUUAAAAGCCUCACAGAAGAGAUCGCGUUUUUUUAAAUGAGCAAGAAUGAAACUCAUUAUUACACAUUUCUUCUGAAGAUACCAGAAGACAGUAAAGCAAUGCCUAUGAGUUCAAGGGGGAAAUUAUUUUCAAUUAUGAAACCAACAUGUAGCCAAAUUAUCAAUCCAAGCAUGAGGGCAAAAAAAUCAGGUCAUUUUCAGAAAUACAAAGGAUGCCAAAUUUAUCUCCCACUCUUCCCCCCGCCGCCCCCUCCCCCCGAGGGAGCUAAAGAUAUUCACCAAGAAAAUAAAGGCAAAACCAAAAAGAAGCCACUAGUUAUAAAAAAUUGUGGUAUUAACUUGAGUCUAAUCAAAAUGAAAUCCUAGAGAGCUGAAAACAAGUCUAGAAAGCAACUGGUUCACAUUAUAACAGAAAUAAGAAAGUAUUAAACUCCAUAUAAUAGUUACAUUAUCUGGAGCAAUCUGAUGUUGAGAAAAAAAGCUACAUUAAAAAAUAAACAUAAAUCGAUAAUGAAAAUGUGACAUUUUAAGCAAAUAAAGUCUAAGACAUUAUUUAACCUAUUAGUAGCAUUUAAGCAAUAAGCAAGUAAUUCACUAAAAAAAAGGUAAUUCACUGACAAUGAUCUGAUAAGGAAGGAAUCGUAAUCUUUGUACAUUCCUUGGCCUUGUACUAAUAAAUAGGUAGACAGUUCUAUUGAGCAUAAUGGUAUUUUACUGGUUGAUUUUCACCUUUUAGAAAAAUUUAUAUGUAAAAGGCUUAUUAGACAGACUAUAAAUGUAUUAAUAACAACAUAGAAAGUCAAGGGAUACCUGGAAAAAAGCCUUCUUCUGCCCAAAGUAUAACAUUAAUACAGUGGACAAAGAAGGCAAACCACCAAUGGAGGAAGAAACCUAUAGCACAUAAAACUAAUGCAGGAUUAAUACCCAGAGCAUGCAAAUAAUACAUCAGAAAAAAAAGAAAAAUGGACUAAAAAAUACGAUGACUAGGCAAGUCACAGAACAGGAAACCUAAAUACACCCAAAACAUUUUAAAUGAUGCUCAAUCUCACUAGAAAUCUGGAAGACACAUAUUUAGACAAUGAGAUGACAUUUUGCAUGCUGUAAAUUACUGAAAUUAAAUCUUGUAAGACCAACUAUAGAGGAAAAUAUAGUGCAACAGCCAUUCUCAUACACUGCUGGUUCAUGAGGGUUUAAACUAUAUACCAGUUGCUGAACUGCAACUGGGCAACAACCCUUAAUGUUGAAAAUGGACAUAGCCAUGUUGAAAAUGGCUUUUAGAUGUAUUUCCUAAAAAAAUUCUUAUACAAGUAAACAAGGAAAUGUGUACCAAACAAAAUGGAAAAUGUUAGGGUGAAAAACUGAAAAUAACCAACAUAUCCAUCUUUAAGAGUUUAGGUAUUUACUAUAUAUUCAUAAGGAAAUACCAUAAAGCAAUUAAAAUGAAUAACUAGAGCUACACGUAUAAAAACAUGUACUGAAAUAAUAAGUACCAAAUUGAGGCCAGGUGCGGUGGCUCAUGCCUGUAAUCCCAACACUUCAGGAGGCCGAGGUGGGUGGAUCACUUGAGGUCAGGAGUUCGAGACCAGCCUAGCCAGCAUGGUGAAACCCCAUCUCUACUAAAAAUACAAAAAUUAGCUGGGUGUGGUGGCUCACACCUGUAAUCCCAGCUACUCGGGAGGCUGAGGCAGGAGGGUCGCUUGAACCCAGAGGCGGAAAUUUCAGUGGGCCUAGAUCGUGCCUCUACACUCUAGCCUGGGUGACAGAGACUCUGUCUCAAAAAAAAAAAAAAGGUACCAAAUUCAGGACAGUGGAAGGAAGACUGGAAGAAGAAAAACAGUACAUGGGAAUUCUAACUGUAUGUAAAAUCCUUAAGUUGGCUGAUGUACAAGUGUUUACACAUUAUUUUCUCCACUUUUUGUGGCUAAAGUUAUUUCAUAAUGAAGAAGUUCCCUGAGGAAAAAACACAGUAAAGGAAUAAUGCAAAGUUAAUACUCAAUGAAUUUAUUCUUGUAAAUCCUACCUUGAAUCCAAUACUGAGUCCUAGUAUUAAGAACUUGCAUCACUUCCACCCUUAAAUUAUA